GACGAACGCUGGCGGCGUGCCUAAUGCAUGCAAGUCGCACGCAGAGUGCUUGCACUCUGAGUGGCGCACGGCUGAGGAACACGUGGGCAUCUGCCCGUCCGUGGGGGAUAACUCGGCGAAAGCCGAGCUAAUCCCGCAUACGCUCCGGUAACGGAGGAAAGCAGUAAUGCGCGGUCGGCGGAGCCCGCGGCCCAUCAGGUAGUUGGCGGGGUAACGGCCCACCAAGCCCGUGACGGGUAGCUGGGUCUGUGAGGACAACCAGCCAGACUGGGACUGAGACACGGCCCAGACUCCUACGGGAGGCAGCAGCAAGGAAUUUUCGGCAAUGGGGGCAACCCUGACCGAGCAACGCCGCGUGGAGGAUGACGGCCUUCGGGUUGUAAACUCCUUUUGCGGGGGACGACAUCGACUGUACCCCGCGAAUCAGGCUCGGCUAACUCUGUGCCAGCCGCCGCCGUAACAC
rnacentral:rRNA from 1 species